GAAUGAUCUGGUUUGAAUUCCAAUGUGCAUAUUCCUGUUCUACGAUCCAUUUGCAAAUUGUAUCUAAAAAUAUAAAGGAGACAUGGUGCAUGGAUCCAGUGACACUCUACGUUUGGCAUCACCUUUUCUACUUUGCAUGUAAGAAUGACCAUCUGAUGGGGCGAUGCCCAUAAUGCCAUGGAAACGUUGCCGAUUGAUUCUCCCUCGAUGAAAAUGAACCUUGAUCGACGUGUGUGCAUUGAGUGCAAACAAUUAUCCAGUGACAUUAUCUGCUACAAAAUUGUGAGAAAGAAAUCGUUUACAAUGCCGGAAAGAGUGACGCUGAAACGCGCAAGAAAUUCUCGAAUCGCUCGCUUUGGAAACUUAACAAGUAACUCAAUGGCACACGAAGG